UUUCGUGGUGUAGUGGUUAUCACAUCUGUCUAACACACAGAAGGUCGGUGGUUCGAGCCCGCCCGAGA
rnacentral:tRNA from 1 species